GCAUCUGGAACUCCAGGGAAGGGGCUCCCUGGUGGCUUUAGUCAUUCCUUGCUUGCUGUGCCGAGGUCUCCCUGUAGGCUUUGUUAGGUUUCCUAAGGUCUAUUUUCUAUUGUAGGAAGUGGUGUGAGAAGUAGCUGCUGUCCCUGAAGGAGCAUUCUGAGCCAGGGCACAGUCACGUCACAUUGAGCUUGAGACACUGGGAGAAAAAUGCUCUGUGAGCCCAGAAAGGAACUUCCCUGCAGGGCAUUAGCUGAGCUGCAGAGGGUGCUCAGGAUGCACCCAGCACAGGAUCCAGCUCUGGGGCAGGUGCACAGGAGGUUGGGGAGGAGUUUUCUCUCAGGGAUUGAAUAUUCCUUAUUUCAAAGCAAUAAUGACAUAAAAUUUAAAUAAGAAUUUAGAAAGUACUGAUGUGUCUUUAGUAUUCUCUUGCAUACACAGCCGUUACCUAAUGCAAACCAUAUUUAAAAGAAGAAAUGUCUAGGCCUUUCAAAUGUAUCUAUCGUUAGGAAUUGAGGGGUGGUUUUAUUAAUUCAAUGGGUGUUACUAUCUGGAGACACACUCAUCCCAGAAGUUAAGAUGUGCAGAGGGCAAGGCCCAGGAAAGUUCAGGUUGUCCGUGUGCCGUGUGAAAAAGGAAUCACAUUGGGACCAUGUCCUGUGAGAUUCUGGGUUUCUGUAAGAGGAGUUCUGUCUUCAUGGACUUCUAAGCAUGUCAGAUGACAAAUAUCAUUAAACAAGUUCAGGUCAUGGAGCUCAGCAUCCCACUGUGGAGUGGGCCGUGUGUCACCUAUCUUCUUCCCCAGGGUGGGGUGGCUUGAGCUAUGAAAUACCUGCCUCAUGAAUAUGCAAAUGCACUGGUAUCUACCGAGGUAAAUAUAGAUCUGUCCUUGCUGAGAGAGCAUCACACAACAACCACAUCCCUCCCCUACAGACGCCCCCAGAGCACAGCACCUCACCAUGGACUGGACCUGGAGGAUCCUCCUCUUGGUGGCAGCAGCUACAGGCGCCCACUCUGAGGUACAGCUGGUGCAGUCUGGGGCUGAGGUGAGGAAGCCUGGGGCCACCGUGAAAAUCUCCUGCAAGGCUUCCGGAUACACCUUCACCGACUACUACCUGAGCUGGGUGCGACAGGCUCCUGGAAAAGGGCUUGAGUGGAUGGGAUGCAUUGAUCCUGAAGAUGGUGAAGCAAUAUACGCACAGAAGUUCCAGGACAGACUCACCAUGACUGCGGACACAUCUACAGACACAGCCUACAUGGAGCUGAGCAGCCUGAGAUCUGAGGACACGGCCGUGUAUUACUGUGCGAGACACACAGUGUGAAAACCACAUCCUGAGA